CAAGACUAGGCAGUACAAG
rnacentral:misc_RNA from 1 species